rnacentral:rRNA from 1 species
CCUACGGGAGGCAGCAGUGGGGAAUAUUGGACAAUGGGGGGAACCUGAUCCAGCCAUGCCGCGUGUGUGAAGAAGGCCUUUUGGUUGUAAAGCACUUUAAGUGGGGAGGAGGCUUACCUGGUUAAUACCUGGGCUAAGUGGACGUUACCCACAGAAUAAGCACCGGCUAACUCUGUGCCAGCAGCCGCGGUAAU